CCCUCACGGAGCCCGCCCGGAGCCCUCACAGAGCCCACCCGGUGCAUCCAGGGCCGCUCCCCGCGGGAAGGCAGCCGCACACGCGUGCUGUGGACACGCCGAGUCACUCUCCCCUUCAUCGCUCCCUGCACCCGGGGCUCCCCCGGCCGGGUCCCGCUGCCCCGGCAGUGUUUAGGGCGCACUCUUUCGAGCAGGUUUUCUCUCGCAGAUUUACGGCAGGAGAUCUGCUGCUGGGGCUGACCUUUCUUCCUCCGUCCGGGGUGCUGAGUGCAUUCUGAAUUGCUUGAGUUCAGCAAGACUUGACCAUACUGACUUUCAUGACUUUUUCUUUGGAGUAAUGAAGGAUCUUAAUAACUUGGAUCAAAAAUUACUCAAUCAAGAUCUGGAUGUGUUGCAGCCUUCUGAUGCAAGUACAGGAUCAACAUCUGCUAUAAAACCUGGAAAAUUGUGGAUAAACAGAACUUCUUUCCCCAGGAAGCAGGAGGAAGCAGGAGGAAAUGCCAGCAUUUGUCUGAAUGUCUGAAUGUCUGAAGCAGAGGACCUUUGAGCACAUGUCUAGGCUUAUACUAAAUAAUAAAAAGUCCGUGAACUGGUCCUGAGGUUAAUCU
rnacentral:lncRNA from 1 species